GAUGAGAACGCAGCGAAAUGCGAUAAGUAGUGUGAAUUGCAGAAUUCAGUGAAUCAUCGAAUCUUUGAACGCACAUUGCGCCCCUUGGUAUUCCAUGGGGCAUGCCUGUUCGAGCGUCAUUUGUACCUUCAAGCUCUGCUUGGUGUUGGGUGAUUGUCUAUCUUUUUAGACUCGCCUUAAAGUCAUUGGCAGCCGGCAUAUUGGCCUGGGAGCGCAGCACAAGUCGCGCUUCUUGUCAUGAAUGUUGGCGUCCAGUAAGUCUACAUAUUUUGCUCUUGACCUCGGAUCAGGUAGGGAUACCCGCUGAACUUAAGCAUAUCAAUAGCGGAGGA
rnacentral:misc_RNA from 1 species